AUCCAGCUUACAUGUUCCAAAUAGGACAAAACGCGCGUCCUGGAU
rnacentral:hammerhead_ribozyme from 1 species